rnacentral:rRNA from 1 species
GUAGUCCACGCCGUAAACGAUGAUAACUAGCUGUCUGGGCUCUUGGAGCUUAGGUGGCGCAGCUAACGCAUUAAGUUAUCCGCCUGGGGAGUACGGCCGCAAGGUUAAAACUCAAAGAAAUUGACGGGGGCCUGCACAAGCGGUGGAGCAUGUGGUUUAAUUCGAAGCAACGCGCAGAACCUUACCAACGUUUGACAUGUCCAGUAUGAUCGCAGGAGACUGCUUUCUUCAGUUCGGCUGGCUGGAACACAGGUGCUGCAUGGCUGCCGUCAGCUCGUGUCGUGAGAUGUUGGGUUAAGUCCCGCAACGAGCGCAACCCUCGCCUUUAGUUGCCAUCAUUUAGUUGGGCACUCUAGAGGAACCGCCGGUGAUAAGCCGGAGGAAGGUGGGGAUGACGUCAAGUCCUCAUGGCCCUUACGCGUUGGGCUACACACGUGCUACAAUGGCGGUGACAGUGGGCAGCAAACCGGCGACGGUGAGCUAAUCUCCAAAAGCCGUCUCAGUUCGGAUUGGACUCUGCAACUCGAGUCCAUGAAGGCGGAAUCGCUAGUAAUCGCGGAUCAGCAUGCCGCGGUGAAUA